rnacentral:rRNA from 1 species
CUGGCUCAGAUUGAACGCUGGCGGCAGGCCUAACACAUGCAAGUCGAGCGGCAGCGGAAAGUAGCUUGCUACUUUGCCGGCGAGCGGCGGACGGGUGAGUAAUGUCUGGGAAACUGCCUGAUGGAGGGGGAUAACUACUGGAAACGGUAGCUAAUACCGCAUGACCUCGAAAGAGCAAAGUGGGGGAUCUUCGGACCUCACGCCAUCGGAUGUGCCCAGAUGGGAUUAGCUAGUAGGUGAGGUAAUGGCUCACCUAGGCGACGAUCCCUAGCUGGUCUGAGAGGAUGACCAGCCACACUGGAACUGAGACACGGUCCAGACUCCUACGGGAGGCAGCAGUGGGGAAUAUUGCACAAUGGGCGCAAGCCUGAUGCAGCCAUGCCGCGUGUGUGAAGAAGGCCUUAGGGUUGUAAAGCACU